CAAAGAGAGAAUUUAAUAAAUUUUGAGGGAUAUGACAACACCAGGCAGGAAAAAACAAGUCAGAUUUCUCACGACACAAAAACCUUGAAAGUCAGAAAUCCGAGUACUGGUGGAUACCGUCAUCAACAUUCUUUCAUUCUUACUGAAGGCAACUCCGAAAACCUACUUUCUGCUCAACUUCAGCCUCAGAAGCAAACAGCACUGAAGGUCUUUCUUACCAAGAGAAGUCCCCGCGCCCCUCACUUCCCCCAAAAUAUAAGGGAAAUGGCCACCUACAGCUGGAGCUCUAUGGCUAGGCUCUGCCACGUGGGAUAAAACAAAAAUAAAACAAGUAUGUGCAUGUAUGCUUAGCAUGUGUGAAUAGUGCCUCAAAAGCUCAAGAAAUGAAGGACAGUUUUCCUACAGCAUACAACCUGAACAACAAAGGACCUGAUU